UACGUAGGGGGCAAGCGUUGUCCGGAAUCAUUGGGCGUAAAGAGCGUGUAGGCGGCUCGAUAAGUCUGCUGUGAAAGUCCAGGGCUCAACCCUGGAAGGCCGGUGGAAACUGUCGGGCUAGAGUCCGGAAGAGGCGAGUGGAACUCCCGGUGUAGCGGUGAAAUGCGCAGAUAUCGGGAGGAACACCAAUGGCGAAGGCAGCUCGCUGGGACGGUACUGACGCUGAGACGCGAAAGCGUGGGGAGCAAACAGG
rnacentral:rRNA from 1 species